UGCGGCUAACGCGUGUCGCGUGAUCGUGUUACGUUACACGACGGUAACGUGCUAUUAUUAUUAUUAAUAUUAUUAUUAUUAUUAUUAUUAUUAUAAGUAUUGUAAUUACGUGUAUUUAUUGUAUUAUUAUGAUUAUUAUACGUGUUUAAAAGCCGCCGUGCUGUCGAUGAAGGACCGGUGAUGAAUGUGUAAAACACACGUGACGGAUUCCGAACGAGAACAUCGCCAUGGCCACUAGCCAGUCAACAUUUUCAGUUUAACCAUUACACUCAUUUUUAUACGAAAUGAGAUCAGUAAAAAAAACAUCGAUCAUUAACCGAGUAUUGAAAUCAAUAAUAUUAUUACAUGCUAUAUAAUAUUAAGACCGUUCAUGAAACUAUCGCGCCAAUGUUGGACAUAAUGGCAUUUUUUUUUAAUCCUCGGCGAUAAAACGAAACGUUCAGAUUUAACCACAUUCCAAUGGACUAUUACGUCCGCCGUUGUUUGUAUACUUGCAACGCAUAUUUUCGUCAUUAGUCGUCUCAAAAUAUAUUGCGUACUGCACUGCCGCAUGAUCAUACCAAAUAAUAUCACAUGACAAUAAUAUACAUAACUAUAAGUCACAAAAAAUCGUAUAUAUAAAUAUAUAUAGUCGUUUUCUGAUUUUU